AGCUCCAAUAGCGUAUACUAAUGUUGUUGCAGUUAAAAAGCUCGUAGUCGGAUUUCAGUUUGUUGUUUGGGGAUCUUUACGUGAACCAAGUGGCAAUCUUCAUUGAUACGACCCUUCGUGCCCUUAAUUGUGGCGUGUCUGGCUAGUAUCUCUUUUACUUUGAGAAAAUUAGAGUGUUCAAAGCAGGUUUUCGCCUGAAUAUUACUCUUGGAAUAAUACUAUAGGACUUUGGUUCUAAUUUGUUGGUGACUUGGGACCGGAGUAAUGAUUGAUAGGGACGGUUGGGGUGAUUCAUACUGCAAAGCGAGAGGUGAAAUUCUUGGACCUUUGUAUGAUGAACAACUGCGAAAGCAUUUCACUAGGACGUUCCCGUCGAUCAAAGAAACGAAAGUUAGAACG
rnacentral:rRNA from 1 species